rnacentral:lncRNA from 1 species
ACACAUUAUGAGAAAAUCUCUUUUGCGAGAGUUUUAAUAGAAGUUUAUGCUACUUAUCCUUUACCUGACCAGGUUGAAAUUGAAACUCCUUUUGGUAUGAAAGUGCAACAGAUUGAAUAUGAUUGGAAACCAAGUUUUUGCAAUCAUUGUUUAAAAUUUGGCCAUGAUGUUAUUGAGUGCUGGUAUAAUACCAGCAAUGAUGCAGAAAUGGUAAAGGGUGACCAGGAGAAGGGAAGAAGGCAGAGAGCUAGGAAGCCAAGGCAGAUUCCUAAACAGGAGUGGAUACCUAAGACUGUUGCAGAUGAAAUGGUACCUAUUCCAGCUCAACUAGAGCAUAUUCUAUAGGCAAUGAUGUAGAACUGGUUAAUGGUGAACAGGAGAAGGGAAGAAGACAGAGAGCUAGAAUGCCGAGGAAGAUCAAAGUUACUAAACAGGAGUGGGUACCUAAGACAGCUGCAGAUACAAUGGUACCUAUUCCAGCUCAACCAGAGCAUAUUAGUGAGACAGUGCAACUGGAGACUUGUACUAUUGGGAAUCAGCAACAUACUGGUGAUAUGAAGCUGGUGAAUAGUAUUGUGAAUCAACAUGAAUUAGAUGGCCUUGGCAGAAACAUAGCAGCUUCAGG